rnacentral:rRNA from 1 species
UUCCCCUAGUAACGAGCGAGUGAACCGGGAAGAGCUCAAAUUUGAAAUCUGGCGUCCUUCGGGCGUCCGAGUUGUAAUCUAUAGAAACGUUUUCCGUGCCGGACCGUGUCCAAGUCCCUUGGAACAGGGUAUCAGAGAGGGUGACAAUCCCGUACUUGACACGACGACCGGUGCUCUGUGAUACGUUCUCUACGAGUCGAGUUGUUUGGGAAUGCAGCUCAAAAUGGGUGGUAAACUCCAUCUAAAGCUAAAUAUUGGUGGGAGACCGAUAGCGAACAAGUACCGUGAGGGAAAGAUGAAAAGCACUUUGGAAAGAGAGUUAAACAGUAUGUGAAAUUGUUGAAAGGGAAACGAUUGAAGUCAGUCGUGACCGUUGGGUUCAGCCGGUUCUGCCGGUCUACUCCCUUCGGUCGGGUCAACAUCGGUUUUGACCGGCGGAUAAGGAAGGGAGGAAUGUGGCACCCUCCGGGGUGUGUUAUAGCCUCUCGUCGCAUACGUCGGUCGAGACCGAGGAACGCAGCUCGCCUUUAUGGCCGGGGUUCGCCCACGUCCGAGCUUAGGAUGUUGACAUAAUGGCUUUAAACGACCCGUCUUGAAACACGGACCA